CAAUAGCGUAUAUUAAAGUUGUUGCAGUUAAAAAGCUCGUAGUUGGAUUUCUGGGAGGGUGCCAAUGUCCGUCGUCGUACGUGUUGCAGCGGCGCCCUUCCAUCCUUCUGUUAACGACUUUGGGCAUUCAUUUGCCGGAGUCGGGCUCAGAUAUUUUUACCUUGAGAAAAUUAGAGUGUUUCAGGCAGGCUAGGCCGGAAUACAUUAGCAUGGAAUAAUGGAAAAGGACUUCAACCUCUUCUGUUGGUCUGAGAGGCUGUAGUAAUGAUUAAUAGGGAUAGUUGGGGGCAUUAGUACUUAACUGUCAGAGGUGAAAUUCUCCGAUUUGUUAAAGACUAACUUAUGCGAAAGCAUUUGCCAAGGAUGUUUUCAUUAAUCAAGAACGAAAGUUAGGGGAUCAAAGAUGAUUAGAUACCA
rnacentral:rRNA from 1 species